rnacentral:rRNA from 1 species
AGUGAACGCUGGCGGUAGGCCUAACACAUGCAAGUCGAACGGCAGCACAGUAAGAGCUUGCUCUUACGGGUGGCGAGUGGCGGACGGGUGAGGAAUACAUCGGAAUCUACUUUUUCGUGGGGGAUAACGUAGGGAAACUUACGCUAAUACCGCAUACGACCUACGGGUGAAAGCAGUGGAUCUUCGGACUUUGCGCGAUUGAAUGAGCCGAUGUCGGAUUAGCUAGUUGGCGGUGUAAAGGCCCACCAAGGCGACGAUCCGUAGCUGGUCUGAGAGGAUGAUCAGCCACACUGGAACUGAGACACGGUACAGAGUCCUGCGGGAGGCAGCAGUGGGGAAGAUUGGACAAUGGGAGCAAGCAUGAUCCAGACAAACCGCGUGAGAGAAGAAGGCAUUCGGGUUGUAAAAGCCUUUUGUUGGGAAAGAAAAGGAGCAGGUGAAUACCCCGCGGUAUUGACGGUACCCAAAAAGUAAGCACAGGCUAACUUCGUG